AUGGAGGGCACGGCGCAGCUUGUUUCCACCGUCGGGCUGCGGGUUGGUGAGGAGUUCGGGCAGCUCCGCCGCGUUGGUCGAGAUGUGGCUGAGCUCAGAGAUGAGCUGGCCACCAUGAAUGCCAUCCUCCGCAUGCACUCUGAAGCUGACGAGGGCGACGUGGACCACUUCGUCCGGGAGUGGAUGAAGCAGGUGCAAGAGCUCGCAUAUGAUUCGGAGGACUGCAUCCACCUCUAUAUUUUCCGGAUCAGGUGCCGGCGUAGCGACGGCCUUGUCGCCUGGUCCAAACGCGUGCUUGCCACUCUUUUUCCUCGACAUCGCCUAGCAGGCGACAUCAAGAACCUCCGCGCCCGUGCGGUUGCCAUCAGCGAGCGCCACGCUCGGUACGGCGUCAGCAGAGAAGCACUGCGCCGCUCUCCUUCUUUGGCUUUCGCCCCCACGCCGCCGGCAGCGUCCUCAUCCCCAUCUGCGCUUGGCCCUGCCAACGACCCUGGCCACCUCGUCGGCAUCAUCGAGCAGGCUAACAUCCUUGGAGAGAAGGUGAAGGCGGUAGAUGACCAAGAGAGGGACAUGAAGCUUAAGGUGUUCUCCAUCGUGGGGUUUGGAGGGGUUGGAAAGACUACGCUGGCCCUGGAGGCGUGCCGGCAGCUGGAGUCCGAGUUUCAACGCCAAGCACAAGUGUCUGUGUCCCAGAUCUUCAACGCGGAGAAGGAUAUGGAGGGGCUUCUGCAGCGCGUGAUUCAGCAGAUCGUGAAGCCAAAAGCAAAUAAUGAGGAAGGCAUCAACGUGGAGGAAUCUCCCCAGGGCAACAUGACUUUGAAAGAGCAGCUCGAGUCGACACUCCAGGACAAGAGGUACCUAAUUGUGAUCGAUGAUGUGUGGACCAUAGCAGCUUGGGAUGCAAUCCUAGCCAACUUGCCAGAGAACCACCGUGGAAGUAGAAUCCUGGUGACAACUCGGAUAGCGACAGUGGCUAAAGCAUGCAGUAAUAGAAGUGAGUAUAUCUAUCCAAUCGAGCCCCUGAAUUCAGAAGACUCCAAGAGGUUGUUCCUCAGUAGAACAUUUCCAUCCGUUGGUGCCACUUGCCCUGAUAGCUUAAAAGUUGCAAUGCAAGAUAUUUUGAGAAAAUGUGGUGGGCUUCCAUUGGCCAUUGUCAGCAUUGCCAGCUUCUUGAGAAACUAUAAUUCACCAGAUGGAAAAGAUAUGUGGGAAAGAGUUUCCAAGUCGAUUGGAUCUCACAUGGAGAGCCAACCUAGCCUUGAGAGGAUGAGGCAGAUAGUCACACUCAGCUACAACCAUUUGCCUCAUGAUAUAAGGUGUUGCAUGAUGUAUCUUAGCAUUUUCCCAGAGGAUUAUGCGGUCAACAUGCAUCGUCUGUUGCAUAAAUGGAUUGCUGAAGGAUUGGUUGCUGAGGUGCGUGGAUUGACCUUGCUGGAGGUUGCCCAAGCAUACUAUGAAGAACUUCUCAGUAGGAAUAUGAUUGUUCAGGCAGCAGAGGAAGUUAGAAACGAGGUUAGCAGGGAGACGUGCCGAGUGCACGACAUGGUGCUUGAGGUCAUGGUGUCUAAAUCACUAGAGGCCAACUUUGUUAGCCUGAUAGGUGGGCCGUACGAAGGGAUGGCAUAUGAUAAGAUUCGUCGUCUCUCCAUCCAUGGUGAAGAAGAGGAAUCUGUGGACUUGACAUCCAAGAAAAAGGGUGUGAGGAAUAUAGAGAUGGAGGUAAAACAUGUCCGAUCACUGAGCAUGUUCAAUAACCAAGGGCACCACCUGCUUGAUAGACUGGGUGAAUUCACCCUACUAAGGGUACUUGACCUGGAUCACUGCAAGGGCCUACAGAACAAGCAUAUGGGAGAUAUUUGCCGGUUGUACCUUCUUAGGUACUUGAGCAUGAGGGAAACAAAUGUCAGUGUGAUGCCUCCGGAAAUUGGUAAGCUGGAGCAAUUACUGACACUUGACGCGCGUGGCACGCUCCUUGAAGGCCUUCCAGAAACUGUGAUCAAGUUGCUUAAACUUGAGCGCCUGUUUUUCAGCAGCAUCUGUGUCUGGGAAGUUCUGUGGACGCCGCCCAGGGGUGUCUCAAAAAUGAAGGCUCUGCGCGAGGUGAUUAAAAUUGGCAUCUCAGACGACAUUGAGGUUGUUAAAGAGAUUGGUAAACUGCAACAGAUGCAGCUGAUACACAUCUUCGUGAAAAGGAGCGUACCUAGUGAGGAGGUCCUUCGGGAGCUUGCCGUCUCUCUGAGCAAGAUAUACUCUAUGCGGUCACUCAACAUUGGGCAGAUAGGUAACACGGCUAAUACAUUGGACUUUCUACAUUACGUCUCGCCGCCACGGCUCAUUCGUAAGAUAUGGAUUUCUGGCAGCAUGGGUGGAUUGCCGUCCUGGAUCGGGUCACUCACAUAUCUUGAAGAGAUCGAGCUUUUGUGCGCAUUCCUUGUUGAUGACCAACUAUUCGAAAUUCUGUGCGAGUCCCCCAACCUGAAGAGCAUCAUUUUGCAUCGUAAUUUCUGGACUCGAAGGGAGCUUGUUGCACGGACCGCACACAAGUUUAUGGCGCUCAGAAGCUUGCAUGUGUCCCUUGCUGAUGAAUUUCCCGAAGUUCUGCGAUUCGAGCAAGGAGCCAUGACAAGCCUAGAGAGUCUUUCUCUGCAUAUAGGUGAUAAUAACAACAACUUUGACGGCAUCGAGCACUUAACAAACCUCAAAGAGGUGCACCUCUCUGGUGGUAGAGACUACUCUGCAAUGAAGCUUGCCCUCGACAUGCUAAAAGCGGAGAAUGAGAGGCGGCACUCCGAAGUGUUCAAGAUCACAGUGAGAUAUUAA
rnacentral:rRNA from 1 species